AUGUGAAACAACCAUUUCAACCAGCUUGGACAAAAGAGAGAAGCCAAGAUGGGGCUGAGAAACCAAUGCAGGCAGGCCCAGGGACCCAGGAGUCAGGGACCAGGUGCUACCAGAUGCUUGCUCCGACUCGUGUUGCUGCUGUCUUCUCUGUGCCUCAACUCUGUCCUCUGUCACUGCAGGCAGCUUCCUCCCAAGGUGGAAGGUGAUAUAUCCCACCUCAUGAAAUCAGGCUUCACCACAAGAUUGCUUUGACCAAGGGGACGUGAGUAGAAGUUUGAAGAACCACAGACUGGUCCAUCACCUUGUUUCUUAUCCCUCUGACAUAAGCAAUGUCCCAGACUGGGGCUGUUCUGUUAGCCUGGCUUCCAGAAUGAAGAGAGCUGAUCUACAUGGCAUAUGUAAGAUAAAUAAACCUUUGUUAUUACAAA
rnacentral:lncRNA from 1 species